UACGAAGGGGGCUAGCGUUGCUCGGAAUCACUGGGCGUAAAGCGCACGUAGGCGGAUCUUUAAGUCAGGGGUGAAAUCCUGGAGCCUCAACUCCAGAACUGCCUUUGAUACUGGGGAUCUCGAGUCCGGAAGAGGUGAGUGGAACUCCGAGUGUAGAGGUGAAAUUCGUAGAUAUUCGGAAGAACACCAGUGGCGAAGGCGGCUCACUGGUCCGGUACUGACGCUGAGGUGCGAAAGCGUGGGGAGCAAACAGG
rnacentral:rRNA from 1 species